rnacentral:rRNA from 1 species
UACGUAGGGUGCAAGCGUUUAAUCGGAAUUACUGGGCGUAAAGCGUGCGCAGGCGGCUUUGCAAGACAGAUGUGAAAUCCCCGGGCUCAACCUGGGAACUGCAUUUGUGACUGCAUGGCUAGAGUACGGUAGAGGGGGAUUGGAAUUCCGCGUGUAGCAGUGAAAUGCGUAGAUAUGCGGAGGAACACCGAUGGCGAAGGCAAUCCCCUGGACCUGUACUGACG